rnacentral:rRNA from 1 species
GACAGAGGGUGCAAACGUUGUUCGGAUUUACUGGGCGUAAAGCACGUGUAGGCGGCCUUGCAAGUUGGAUGUGAAAGCCCACGGCUCAACCGUGGAAGCGCAUCCAAAACUGCAUCGCUCGAGUCUCGGAGAGGAAGGUGGAAUGCUUGGUGUAGAGGUGAAAUUCGUAGAUACCAAGCAGAACACCUGCGGCGAAGGCGGCCUUCUGGACGAUGACUGACGCUGAGACGCGAAAGCGUGGGGAGCAAACAGG